UACGUAGGGUGCAGGCGUAAUCGGAUUUACUGGGCGUAAAGCGUGCGUAGGCGGUUCAUUAAGUCGGUUGUGAAAUCCCUGGGCUUAACCUGGGAACUGCAGUCGAUACUGGUGGACUAGAGUGCGGUAGAGGGUGGCGGAACUCCGGGUGUAGCGGUGAAAUGCGUAGAUAUCCGGAAGAACACCGAUGGCGAAGGCAACCACCUGGGCCUGCACUGACGCUGAGGUACGAAAGCGUGGGGAGCAAACAGG
rnacentral:rRNA from 1 species